UUCAAGAUAGUCAAGGUGCACCUGCCCAGUUAUCAAGCUCAGCUAAGAAUAAAAGGUGUGUAAAAGAUUUUUUUAUGUAUAUUAAAAAAGAAAAGAAAUUGAGAAGUAGUAGCUUCCAAUCAUGUUAAUGAUAUUCAAUGAAACUCAAAGAAAACCACAAAAAGUCCAGCUAACAUAUUAAAAACAACCUUCUCCAACAACAUAUUAAAAGACAAGAUGUGUCCCGCCAACAAUGAAAAGAUAAUAAUCCAAAUAGUCUUACAUAAUUAAAUUGAAGGUGGUCACCAUAUAACAAAUUAUGGUUGCAAUUCCCAAAAUGGCUGAUAAUAUGAGAAUAUAUACUGUCAAUUGUAUUUGAAUUUACAGAAUAUCACUUGUAUUGGAUCAACACAAUAACAAAAUUGAAGUCCUCUAAAUAUGUUUAAUG
rnacentral:misc_RNA from 1 species